AAAAACACAAACUCUCAAAACCAAACUGCAGAUCUGCUCACUGACAGUCAUGAAGUCGUUUCCUGUAUAUCGGAAGUUUAAUGUAAAAGAAAUACAGACACUUUAGGAUCCAUUUCUGUGUGAAAGGGCCGCACACACCUCG